AUUGAACGCUGGCGGCGUGCCUUACACAUGCAAGUCGAACGAGUGGCGGACGGGUGAGUAACGUCUGGGAAACUGCCUGAUGGAGGGGGAUAACUACUGGAAACGGUAGCUAAUACCGCAUACCAUCCGAGGGGCCCAGUGGGGAUUAGCUAGUAGGUGGGGUAACGGCUCACCUAGGCGACGAUCCCUAGCUGGUCUGAGAGGAUGACCAGCAACACUGGAACGGAGACACGGUCCAGACUCCUACGGGAGGCAGCAGGGGGGAAUAUUGCACAAUGGGCGCAAGCCUGAUGCAGCCAGGCCGCGUGUGUGAAGAAGGCCUUCGGGUUGUAAAGUACUUUCAGCGGGGAGGCGGUACCUGAAGAAGAAGCACCGGCUAACUCCGUGCCAGCAGCCGCGGUAAUAG
rnacentral:rRNA from 1 species